rnacentral:rRNA from 1 species
GACGAACGCUGGCGGCGUGCCUAAUACAUGCAAGUAGAACGCAGUUGCGAACGGGUGAGUAACGCGUAGGUAACUGCCUCAUAGCGGGGGAUAACUAUUGGAAACGAUAGCUAAUACCGCAUACUGUGAGAUGGACCUGCGUUGUAUUAGCUAGUUGGUGAGGUAAAGGCUCACCAAGGCGACGAGAGAUAGCCGACCUGGGAGGAGGGUCAGCCGCACUGGAGCGGAGACACGGUCCAGGCGCCUACGGGAGGCAGCAGUGGGGAAUAUUGCGCAAUGGGGGAGACCCUGGUGCAACCAUGCCGCGUGUGUGGAGAAGGCGUUCGGGUUGGAAAGCACGUUCUGCGGGGGGCGUUACUCGCAGAAGAAGCACCGGCUAACUCCGUGCCAGCAGCCGCGGUAAUUC